GAUGAACGCUGGCGGCGUGCCUAAUACAUGCAAGUCGAGCGAACAGAUGAGAAGCUUGCUUCUCUGAUGUUAGCGGCGGACGGGUGAGUAACACGUGGGUAACCUACCUAUAAGACUGGGAUAACUCCGGGAAACCGGGGCUAAUACCGGAUAAUAUUUUGAACCGCAUGGUUCAAUAGUGAAAGACGGUUUCGGCUGUCACUUAUAGAUGGACCCGCGCCGUAUUAGCUAGUUGGUAAGGUAACGGCUUACCAAGGCGACGAUACGUAGCCGACCUGAGAGGGUGAUCGGCCACACUGGAACUGAGACACGGCCCAGACUCCUACGGGAGGCAGCAGUAGGGAAUCUUCCGCAAUGGGCGAAAGCCUGACGGAGCAACGCCGCGUGAGUGAUGAAGGUCUUCGGAUCGUAAAACUCUGUUGUUAGGGAAGAACAAAUUUGUUAGUAACUGAACAAGUCUUGACGGUACCUAACCAGAAAGCCACGGCUAACUACGUGCCAGCAGCCGCCGUA
rnacentral:rRNA from 1 species